rnacentral:rRNA from 1 species
GACGAACGCUGGCGGCGUGCCUAAUACAUGCAAGUAGAACGCAGUUGCGCACGGGUGAGUAACGCGUAGGUAACUGCCCGGAAGCGGGGGAUAACUAUUGGAAACGAUAGCUAAUACCGCAUACUACCAGAUGGACCUGCGUUGUAUUAGCUAGUUGGUUAGGUAACUGCUCACCAAGGCAACGAUACAUAGCCGACCGGGGUGGGUGAUCUGACACCCGGGGACGUGGACAAGGCCCAGGCUUCUGCGGGAGGCAGCAGUAGGGAAUCGUCGGCAAUGGGGGGAACCCUUACCGGGCAACGCCGCGUGAGUGAAGAAGGUUUUCGGAUCGUAAAGCUCUGUUGUUAAGGAAGCGGUACUUAACCAGAAAGGGACGGCUAACUACGUGCCAGCAGCCGCGGUAAUAC